CCUACGGGAGGCAGCAGUGAGGAAUAUUGGUCAAUGGGCGCGAGCCUGAACCAGCCAAGUAGCGUGAAGGAUGACUGCCCUACGGGUUGUAAACUUCUUUUAUAAGGGAAUAAAGUGUGGGACGUGUCCUGUUUUGUAUGUACCUUAUGAAUAAGGAUCGGCUAACUCCGUGCCAGCAGCCGCGGUAAUACGGAGGAUCCGAGCGUUAUCCGGCUUUAUUGGGUUUAAAGGGUGCGUAGGCGGCCUUUUAAGUCAGCGGUGAAAGUCUGUGGCUCAACCAUAGAAUUGCCGUUGAAACUGGGAGGCUUGAGUAUGUUUGAGGCAGGCGGAAGGCGUGGUGUAGCGGUGAAAUGCUUAGAUAUCACGCAGAACCCCGAUUGCGAAGGCAGCCUGCCAAGCCAUGACUGACGCUGAUGCACGAAAGCGUGGGGAUCAAACAGGAUUAGAUACCCCAGUAGUC
rnacentral:rRNA from 1 species